GUAUUCAAAUGUAGAUUAAAAGAAAACUCAUCCAAGCAGCUAUGCUGAGGAUUUUAGCUGUACAUGACAUGUGACUGUCUCACCUGCAUUAGCAUUCUAGGUGGAAUCCCCAACUUCUGUUUCAUUUCUGCAACUGGGCACAGCCCACAGACAUUCAACCUCACCC